rnacentral:rRNA from 1 species
UACAGAGGGGGCAAGCGUUGUUCGGAGUUACUGGGCGUAAAGGGCGCGUAGGCGGCCUUCUAAGUCGAACGUGAAAUCCCUGGGCUCAACCCAGGAACUGCGUCCGAUACUGGAAGGCUUGAAUCCGGGAGAGGGAUGCGGAAUUCCAGGUGUAGCGGUGAAAUGCGUAGAUAUCUGGAGGAACACCGGUGGCGAAGGCGGCAUCCUGGACCGGUAUUGACGCUGAGGUGCGAAAGCGUGGGGAGCAAACAGG